rnacentral:rRNA from 1 species
CGAACGGGUGAGUAACACGUGGGUAAUCUGCCCUGCACUUCGGGAUAAGCCUGGGAAACCGGGUCUAAUACCGGAUAUUCAGUUCCUGCCGCAUGGUGGGGGUUGGAAAGUUUUUCGGUGCAGGAUGAGCCCGCGGCCUAUCAGCUUGUUGGUGGGGUAAUGGCCUACCAAGGCGACGACGGGUAGCCGGCCUGAGAGGGUGAUCGGCCACACUGGGACUGAGACACGGCCCAGACUCAUACGGGAGGCAGCAGUGGGGAAUAUUGCACAAUGGGCGAAAGCCUGAUGCAGCGACGCCGCGUGGGGGNAUGAACGGUCUUCGGAUUGUAAACCCCUUUUCAGUAAGGGACGA